rnacentral:lncRNA from 1 species
CAGUUUCAACUUAGAGAUUUAGAAAGCUAGAAAAAGUUUUGCUUCCAGUAUUACAACAAUAACCAUAAAGCUGGACAUAAUGCAAAUAAAUGACUUUUCUUGAUCCCAUUAGGAAAUUGAGAUUUCAGGGAAAACACUAAAUAGAAAACUGGGGAGAUAUAGCCUCUUACAAGAGGAAAUAAGAUACAAGCAUUUUUUAUUUAACCUGGAGCAGAAACCAUCGUUACCAUAUAAACUGAUAAGAUUCAGCUUCUUUGGGAAUUUAAUGAAUUGUUAAACACUAAAUGUGGGCUAGUAUGAGAAAGUUAAAUCCCUGGGGGCCAUAGACAAGAAGGGUUUCACCAUCUUUCUUUUCCUCCAAUAACUCCACCACAUAAUCAUAGUGAAGACCAGGAAAUAUUCAAAUGUAAAGGAACUGUCUGGGAGAAGACAGUGGGAAGAGCAGCAAUUGUUGCCAAAACUUCUUUCAAACUCAUUUUAUAUAAAACAAAUAAAAUUUUAUCCUGAAGAAAUCAGAGAUGUUCACAAGUAAUUCUGUAUGAAAAUUUUCAUUCUAGAGUUUAUAAUAGCAAAUGGAAUAAAAGAAAACUAAUAUUCAAUCAAAAGGGGGAUAUUAAAUUUAUUUUGUAUGAUAGAGUAAAAUAUAUAUGUGGGAAUCGGUGCUCCUGAUAUUUUAAGCCUGUAAGUAGAAAUCCUAUAUAUCUUUUCAUAUAUAGGAAAAGAAACUGGAAUGGAAUGCACCUAUUGGUGCAUUGGCUAUGUAUGGUUCUAUUCUCUACUUCUUUCUGCAUUUUCUUAAUUUUUCACAGCUAAAUUUUAUUACUUAAUAAAAUGUUUUUUAAAAAAAAGAAUUUAAUACUGUGAAGCAUAUAAUGUUGGGAGGAAGAUUUUGCAGAACCAGAUAGAGAUGAGCUUACUUUAACACAAGGACUAUCAGUUUAUUGUAGGUUUUGACCAAAGCUCCAUUUAUUUUCACACACUAAAAGCCACACAAGUAUUUGUGGGAGGUCCCUGGACCUGAACUGGCUGGAUU